UGUCCUCACUGCCCUGGCCCUGGACCCAGAGGACAUAUUUACAGGGUGUACUAAUCUUAACGCCACACUGCUCUCCUCUCCACCUCACUCAGCUAACUUAAUCCCUCCUAUCCAGCAGCCCACACAGCUCUGAGGGUCAACGGAAACAGAAUCAAUGCUUUAUGAAUAUGUAUAUAAUGUAUAAUGACAUCCUCAAGUCCAAGUGUAUUUGUGAUGCCAUUCGUGUUUGAUUGUCAACGUUCUUAUUGUCAUAUUCAGAAGCGAAGGUGAAGCUAGCUGUUUUAUGCUACGCUGGGCAAAAAGGUUUUGGACGUACGUGAUCAAGUGCCUUUCCUUUACUAGUCGUUUAAUUUAUGUAUGUGGAUUCUGUGUGUGUGUGUGAGAGACCACAUGGCAAGUUUACCUCAGAUGACCCCGCUGACAUGAGUCGUCCGAACGGAAUUCAAGCCGUGACAAAUGGGUUCUGGGCCUGAACAGCAGACAUUCCACAGCAUGUUCCUCUUCAGCAACUCCUCCUCUCGUUCCUCUCCUUAUCCCUUAACUACACUUCUCCUCGAAACAUCUAUCUCUUCAAAGGUUGUAAGAAUGCACUUAUCAAUCAAACAUAAACCUGUUGUAUGUAUUGGAAGAGGUUGUGGGAAUCACCCUGAACAUGAACUUCCGAGGAAGGCAAGCCUUUUACAGAGCUAUUUGAAUGCAAUGCUCUACAAAUCUCUGGCGUAUUUGCAGAUGAAUAAAGGAAAAAGAGACUGGUGUUAGUAGAAAAAGAGAAGUGAACCCCUUGGAUGUUAGUAUCGUAAACCUUUCUUGAUCAGUGAUGUGGAGGUUGAGAGAAAAUAUAGCGCUGUGUUUAAACAGGAUGUGUAGGUUGUAGCAUCCUAUCCUCCUCCCCCUGCAAUAUCCCCCCAUUUCUUUAUCCCUCCCUCCCUCCCUCCCUCCCUCCCUCCCUUCCCCGUUUCUCUCUGAUUUUCCAGAAUGCUCCUCCACAGAAUCCUGCCACCUGUGUCAGUAAAAAAAAAGGAAGGCUAUUGGUAUUCCUCUUUGAGGCUGGUUAAGGGAGUGAUCCUACCACCUCCAUCCCCAGUCCUACCCACCUCGCAACAUUUUUUAAGAACACAUGCAGUCGCCACAGGUUAACGUCGGCGCUGCCAUUGCAUGUCACAGGCGGACCAUACGAGAACGCAGGAGGCUGAUGCAAUGAUGUGCUGGGAUACCCUGAGUUUUAAUCACGUGUAACUAGCAUUACAGUCAGAGAAAGCAAAAGAAUUGUCCGAAUAAAAGAAUCAAUCCAUUUCA